rnacentral:rRNA from 1 species
UACGUAGGGCGCAAGCGUUGUCCGGAAUUAUUGGGCGUAAAGAGCUCGUAGGCGGUCUGUUACGUCCGCUGUGAAAACCCAGGGCUUAACCCUGGGCUUGCAGUGGAUACGGGUAGACUAGAGGCAGGUAGGGGAGAAUGGAAUUCCUGGUGUAGCGGUGAAAUGCGCAGAUAUCAGGAGGAACACCGAUGGCGAAGGCAGGUCUCUGGGCCACUACUGACGCUGAGAAGCGAAAGCAUGGGGAGCGAACAGG